rnacentral:rRNA from 1 species
AGCGAACGCUGGCGGCAGGCCUAACACAUGCAAGUCGAACGAAGUCUUCGGACUUAGUGGCGGACGGGUGAGUAACACGUGGGAACGUGCCUUUAGGUUCGGAAUAACUCAGGGAAACUUGUGCUAAUACCGAAUGUGCCCUUCGGGGAAAGAUUUAUCGCCUUUAGAGCGGCCCGCGUCUGAUUAGCUAGUUGGUGAGGUAAAGGCUCACCAAGGCUACGAUCAGUAGCUGGUCUGAGAGGAUGACCAGCCACAUUGGGACUGAGACACGGACCAAACUCCUACGGGAGGCAGCAGUGGGGAAUCUUGCGCAAUGGGCGAAAGCCUGACGCAGCCAUGCCGCGUGGAUGAUGAAGGUCUUAGGAUUGUAAAAUCCUUUCACCGGUGAAGAUAAUGACUGUAGCCGGAGAAGAAGCCCCGGCUAACUUCGUGCCAGCCGCCGCCGUAAGAC